rnacentral:rRNA from 1 species
UACGUAGGGGGCAAGCGUUGUUCGGAAUUACUGGGCGUAAAGGGCGCGUAGGCGGCUAGGCAAGUCAGAUGUGAAAGCCCCGGGCUUAACUCGGGAAUUGCAUCUGAAACUGCUGGGCUUGAGUUCUGGAGGGGGUAGUGGAAUUCCCGGUGUAGCGGUGAAAUGCGUAGAUAUUGGGAGGAACACCUGCGGCGAAGGCGGCUACCUGGACAGAAACUGACGCUGAGGCGCGAAAGCUAGGGGAGCAAACAGG